UGGCCCUUCGGAGCCGCCUUUCGGGAGGAGGCUUCAAACCGCCCUCCGCUGCGUUAGCUGAAGACUGUCGUGGUGAGCGGGAGGGAAAAGGCGCCCAUGAGGCGUCAGG
rnacentral:ncRNA from 1 species